UUACAUACCUGGAUGGGGUCAUUGGACGAUCAAGAAGGUCCAUGUCCUAGGCUUGUGACUUUAAUUGCACAUAGAAAGGGUGCUUGUUUGAGAUCAACCCAUGUUGGUUGAAUGUACGUCAUAAUUUGUUCCCGAGGGGCCUGCGUUCUCACGGCCUCUAU